rnacentral:tRNA from 1 species
GGAAAUAUAUAAAUGAAAGCUGCUAACUUUCUAAAUAAUGGUUUAAAUCCAUUAAUAUUUCUA